GGCUGUAUCUGGGAACCACAGACAGAAUCAUGGAACUGACCAUCUUCAGUCUCAAAGGGCUGCCCUCACCACUACACCCAAGGGCAGGUGGUCUUCGGGGGAAAGGCGGUUCCAGUUCCUUCUCCCAAGCCAGUGAGGAAGUCAAUCCUGCAAACAACUGCAGGAACGGCCUUGGGAGUGGAUCCUUCCUCAGCCCGGCUCCAAGACAACUGCAGCCCUGUGAGAAACCCUGAGUGGAGGACCAAGCCAAGCCUCAAAUCGUGACUUGGAACUGGGAGACAACAGAUGCUGUUGGAAGCCAUUGAGCUCUGAAGUAGUUUGUUACACAGUGACAGAAUCUAGGAUCUGGGGAAAGUAAACUGAGGCCACCAGUAAGCAUGUGCUCCAGGCCAAGGCUGAGUCUGUGCUGCAUCCAUGUCAUCAGCCACCCAAGAAAAACCAGUUACUCCACCUAGCUCAUGGUGGCGGCAUCCUCCCUGCAAUGGUGCAUGGGGGGCAGUCCUUUCCCCUGCAGGGUGUCAUUGCCACCCCCAUCCUCAUCCUGGAGGCCAGUCCAGGCUCCGAUAUGAGUGACUAGGGGUGAGGUGGGGGUGGCAGAAGGGAGAUCAAACUGGAGCAUUCCAGAUGCCUACUACUGCCCUCACACAACGGGGCAACUGUGCUCUCCAACUCCUCCCCUUGGCAGAGAAACUGGUCCUGCAGUUUCAGGACUAGACGAGCGUGGGGUAGUGGCAAUAGAGGGGCUUGUAUGAGAAGUG
rnacentral:antisense_RNA from 1 species